AGUGACAAGAAAUAACAAUACAAGGCAGUUAAAAUGCUUUGUAAUUGGAAUGAUAGAAAUUUAAACACUUUUUAAAGUAUCAAUUGGAGGGCAAGUCUGGUGCCAGCAGCCGCGGUAAUUCCAGCUCCAAUAGCGUAUAUUAAAAUUGUUGCAGUUAAAAAGCUCGUAGUUGAAUUUCUGUUAAAAAUAACCGGUCUGCUUUUAAUAAAAGUGGUAUCUUGGUGUGUUUUUAGCAAUAAUGUCCUUUGAAAUGUUUUUUACUUUAUUGUAAUAAAUAAUAUUCAGGAUUUUUACUUUGAGAAAAUUAGAGUGUUUCUAGCAGGCUAACGCUUUGAAUACUGCAGCAUGGAAUAAUAAAAUAGGAUUUUAGUUCUACAUUAUUGGUUUUAAGAACUAAAUUAAUGAUUGAUAGGGACAGUUGGGGGCAUUUGUAUUUAACUGUCAGAGGUGAAAUUCUUAGAUUUGUUAAAGACAAACUACUGCGAAAGCAUUUGCCAAAGAUGUUUUCAUUAAUCAAGAACGAAAGUUAGGGGAUCGAAGACGAUCAGAUACCGUCGUAGUCUUAACUAUAAACUAUGCCGACUAGAGAU
rnacentral:rRNA from 1 species